UCUACUAUCGAUAUUUUCUGCUGCCUCCUACCUGAUCUGUCUCUGCUGUAGCUUAUGCUGUCUGCUGCUCCAAUUGAAUUUCAACUUCUGCAGAUCAUUGACAUUCAAACCAGAAAGUUCUUCUCCCAACAGCUGCCUGCAAUAAUGAUGUCACUGGAUUAUCAUAGCCUCCUUUGGGAGAGAUACAAGGAUGGAGAAGGAAUUUGCUUCUGGUAUUCAUGGUGUUAAAGAAGUCCCUAAUAUGGAUGCUCGAAUAUAUGAUCUAUAAAAUGUUUGAAGGCUUCGUAAUGUGCAUCAAAACAUUUGAUUAUGAGACCUAUAUUUUCU